AUUGAACGCUGGCGGCAGGCCUAACACAUGCAAGUCCAGCGGAUGAAGGGAGCUUGCUCCUGGAUUCAGCGGCGGACGGGUGAGUAAUGCCUAGGAAUCUGCCUGGUAGUGGGGGAUAACGUCCGGAAACGGGCGCUAAUACCGCAUACGUCCUGAGGGAGAAAGUGGGGGAUCUUCGGACCUCACGCUAUCAGAUGAGCCUAGGUCGGAUUAGCUAGUUGGUGGGGUAAAGGCCUACCAAGGCGACGAUCCGUAACUGGUCUGAGAGGAUGAUCAGUCACACUGGAACUGAGCCACGGUCCAGACUCCUACGGGAGGCAGCAGUGGGGAAUAUUGGACAAUGGGCGAAAGCCUGAUCCAGCCAUGCCGCGUGUGUGAAGAAGGUCUUCGGAUUGUAAAGCACUUUAAGUUGGGAGGAAGGGCAGUAAGUUAAUACCUUGCUGUUUUGACGUUACCAACAGAAUAAGCACCGGCUAACUUCGUG
rnacentral:rRNA from 1 species